rnacentral:rRNA from 1 species
UACGUAGGGAGCGAGCGUUGUCCGGAUUUACUGGGUGUAAAGGGUGCGUAGGCGGCUAUGCAGUCAGUAGUGAAAUCCAUGGGCUUAACCCAUGAACUGCUAUUGAAACUGCACAGCUUGAGUGAAGUAGAGGUAGGCGGAAUUCCCGGUGUAGCGGUGAAAUGCGUAGAGAUCGGGAGGAACACCAGUGGCGAAGGCGGCCUACUGGGCUUUAACUGACGCUGAGGCACGAAAGCGUGGGUAGCAAACAGG